GGGAGAUUGACGGUACUGUAGGAAUAAGGACCGGCUAACUCCGUGCCAGCAGCCGCGGUAAUACGGAGGGUCCGAGCGUUAUCCGGAAUCAUUGGGUUUAAAGGGUCCGUAGGUGGGGUUCUAAGUCAGAGGUGAAAGGUUGCAGCUCAACUGUAGAAUUGCCUUUGAUACUGGAGCUCUUGAGUUAUGUUGCUGUGGCCGGAACAUGUGGUGUAGCGGUGAAAUGCAUAGAUAUCACAUAGAACACCGAUUGCGAAGGCAGGUCACAAAGCAUACACUGACACUGAGGGACGAAAGCGUGGGGAGCGAACGGGAUUAGAUACCCCGGUAGUCCACGCCGUAAACGAUGGAUACUAGCUGUUGGGUUUUCGGACUCGGCGGCCAAGCGAAAGUGAUAAGUAUCCCACCUGGGGAGUACGUUCGCAAGAAUGAAACUCAAAGGAAUUGACGGGGGCCCGCACAAGCGGUGGAGCAUGUGGUUUAAUUCGAUGAUACGCGAGGAACCUUACCAGGGCUUAAAUGGGAGGUGACCGGGUCAGAGACGACCCUUUCUUCGGACAUCUUUCAAGGUGCUGCAUGGUUGUCGUCAGCUCGUGCCGUGAGGUGUCAGGUUAAGUCCUAUAACGAGCGCAACCCCUGCCGUUAGUUGCCAGCGAGUCAAGUCGGGGACUCUAACGGGACUGCCGGUGCAAACCGAGAGGAAGGUGGGGACGACGUCAAAUCAUCACGGCCCUUACGUCCUGGGCUACACACGUGCUACAAUGGUCGGUACAAUGGGAAGCCACCCCGUGAGGGGGCGCGGAUCUUAAAAGCCGAUCACAGUUCGGAUCGGGGUCUGCAACUCGACCCCGUGAAGCUGGAAUCGCUAGUA
rnacentral:rRNA from 1 species